rnacentral:rRNA from 1 species
GACGAACGCUGGCGGCGUGCUUAACACAUGCAAGUCGAACGGAAAGGCCCUGCUUUUGUGGGGUGCUCGAGUGGCGAACGGGUGAGUAACACGUGAGUAACCUGCCCUUGACUUUGGGAUAACUUCAGGAAGCUGGGGCUAAUACCGGAUAGGAGCUCCUGCUGCAUGGUGGGGGUUGGAAAGUUUCGGCGGUUGGGGAUGGACUCGCGGCUUAUCAGCUUGUUGGUGGGGUAGUGGCUUACCAAGGCUUUGACGGGUAGCCGGCCUGAGAGGGUGACCGGCCACAUUGGGACUGAGAUACGGACCAGACUCCUACGGGAGGCAGCAGUGGGGAAUAUUGCACAAUGGGCGGAAGCCUGAUGCAGAAACGCCGCGUGCGGGAUGACGGCCUUCGGGUUGUAAACCGCUUUCGCCUGUGACGAAGCGUGAGUGACGGUAAUGGGUAAAGAAGCACCGGCUAACUACGUG